AGCUACGGCGAGUGAAGCGGCAACAGCUCAAAUUUGAAAUCUGGCUCUUUCAGAGUCCGAGUUGUAAUUUGCAGAGGGCGCUUUGGCUUUGGCAGCGGUCCAAGUUCCUUGGAACAGGACGUCACAGAGGGUGAGAAUCCCGUACGUGGUCGCUAGCUAUUGCCGUGUAAAGCCCCUUCGACGAGUCGAGUUGUUUGGGAAUGCAGCUCUAAAUGGGAGGUAAAUUUCUUCUAAAGCUAAAUAUUGGCCAGAGACCGAUAGCGCACAAGUAGAGUGAUCGAAAGAUGAAAAGCACUUUGGAAAGAGAGUCAAACAGCACGUGAAAUUGUUGAAAGGGAAGCGCUUGCAGCCAGACUUGCUUGCAGUUGCUCAUCCGGGCUUUUGCCCGGUGCACUCUUCUGCAGGCAGGCCAGCAUCAGUUUGGGCGGUGGGAUAAAGGUCUCUGUCACGUACCUUCCUUCGGGUUGGCCUUAUAGGGGAGACGCCAUACCACCAGCCUGGACUGAGGUCCGCGCAUCUGCUAGGAUGCUGGCGUAAUGGCUGUAAGCGGCCCGUCUUGAAACAC
rnacentral:rRNA from 1 species